UACGUAGGGUGCGAGCGUUGUCCGGAAUUAUUGGGCGUAAAGGGCUCGUAGGCGGUUUGUCGCGUCGGGAGUGAAAACACCGGGCUUAACUCGGUGCUUGCUUUCGAUACGGGCAGACUGGAGGCAUGCAGGGGAGAACGGAAUUCCUGGUGUAGCGGUGGAAUGCGCAGAUAUCAGGAGGAACACCGGUGGCGAAGGCGGGUCUCUGGGCCGAUACUGACGCUGAGGAGCGAAAGCGUGGGGAGCGAACAGG
rnacentral:rRNA from 1 species